UACGAGGGGUGCAAGCGUUGCUCGGAAUUAUUGGGCGUAAAGGGUAGGUAGGUGGUCUCAUUUGUCUGGGGUGAAAGCCUUGAGCUUAACUCAAGAAGUGCCCUAGAAACGGUGAGACUGGAGUCCUGGAGAGGGUCGUGGAAUUCCCGGUGUAGCGGUGAAAUGCGUAGAGAUCGGGAGGAACACCAGCGGCGAAGGCGGCGACCUGGACAGGUACUGACACUCAACUACGAAAGCAUGGGGAGCAAACAGG
rnacentral:rRNA from 1 species